rnacentral:tRNA from 2 species
GACCCCGUAGCUCAGCGGUAGAGCAUUUGACUUUUAAUCAAAGGGCCGAUGGUUCGAGACCAUCCGGGGUCA